AAAUCUCAAAACCUAGCUUUGCUUCGUCGGAGCUCGGUUUUGGACCUUUGGGAGUCUGCGGGCGACCCUUUGCUUGGGACGUCGGCUCUCCUCAAAUGCAUUAGCGGUGGGCGCGAGCCUUUGCACGGCACGGCCUGUUCGACGUCGUAGUGAUCGUCGCGGGCUGGAAGUGCUCGGAUCGACAUGUCUCAUGCUUCCAACCAUGUUAUUAGCCUAUGCAAGGCUAGUAAAUUAAG
rnacentral:misc_RNA from 1 species